UCUGUCUCAAUGUUCCAGGAGCCAUUCUGCCCUGUGCAGGCAGAAUAGCUCUGAGCCCCUUCUGCGGGCUGCUGCCAUUCUGCCCUCUUCUGUCCCCACCCCUAGACUCAGAGGAGCAAGGUCAGAAUUUUGCCCUUUAACAGACUAUAUCUCUACCCGCUAUUAACAAGAGUCUGGAGGUGUAACUGAACAAACAAGGGCAUUACAAGAAGCCACCAUAAUGUCACCAAUCAUGAUGCUUGAUACUGCCAUUCACAUGGCUGCAUAUCCCAAGUCCCAAAGCAGCUGGAAUUCAUCACUCUGUGCUACAUCUUUUUAAGUCAGACAGAGAUGACAGGUGAAAACAAACCCACCUGUGGUGUUGAGAGCAUAUCCAGGCUCCAGGAGCACAUUUUGCCAUCUGUAGAAACUGUAAUGAGAUUGUGCGCGUUCUGUGUUCCAACAACGUUUACACAGUACACGGGAUGCUGAAAAUACAUGAACACCAGGAAUCAGAAAGUGCAUUCUCACUUUUCAAAACCAAAUUUCAAUUUCAAAUGUCAGAAAUGUUGAUUUAAGAAAGGAUUAAACAGUCGCAUACUGCCAGCAUAAUACAGCGCUCAUCUACUUGCCAGAUAGGAAUUUAACUUGCUUUUGGUUGGAACUUUAAAGGCACAUUAUGGUGGUGGAAGUUCAAAGCUUCAUUUUACUCCAUCGUAAAACAACUUGAGUAAUGCUGUGAAAAUGCUGGAUUCUGUGGAUGAGAUUUCACCCACAGGGACAUGUCUGAUUCUGCUGAUAGAUUUUGAUGCUGAAAAUGACUGGCAGAGAGAAGCAAACCUUCCAAAUGGAAUGAAAAUGUAGAUUUUAUUGGAGAAAACAGCUGCACAAGGCUUGGACUUUGCCACAGUUUGGCUGCUAUGCCGAAUAUUUUCAAAUGUACUUCAAUGGAAAAAAUAUGAACAAAUCCACCAGCCUUCUUAAUCAUGAGACAAUUAAUGUACUCCAAUACAUCAAAGGAAUUGGGAGUGACUCCACUAACCUAUGGAGUUACUCCAGAUUUACACCAGUGAAACUGAGAGCAAAAUUUGGUCCACAGGCAUGUUAGGGUGUACACGGUACUUUUAUUCUCAGGCAUCGAUACUUUGGGCUCCAAGUUAUCAUCUGACAUCUGUUUGAUGGCCCAUGGGAAACGAGAUGCUGCUCCAAGCUCAGUUUCUAGUGGGCAAAUGUUCUCAUCACCAAACCACUGUCACAACCAAGCACCCUUAGCAGCACUCUUCAAAGAAUGGCCAGUGAGAAUGAACUACCCUUUGGCCAGUACAGGUGGUCUGUCCAGAUGAAGGAUAACAUCCAUAGCUGUAGGGCAGUGUUGGGAAACUUGCACUGCUACUGUCUAUUCAGUGCUUUUUUUGUGGAUAAAGAGAAGACUUUGGUCUCUAGAAAUGGAAACUUUUCACUUUUCACUAGCACUACAUUUAAUUAAAGAAAAUUAAGGGCCAAAUUUACUAGUGGCCUCAACUCAGCUCCCAUCUAUAUUCAUCCAAGUGAAGACAAUCACUUGUGCACACAAUCAUUUGUGCAAAGAAAGCAAUCCCCAAUUAAGGUGUACAGAUCCAAUUCCGCUCCCUUUGAAGUGAAUGGCAAAACUUCCAUUGACUUUAGUGGCGCAGGAUCACACUCUAUGUGUACAAAUUCCAUCAUUUGUGUGAACAGGGGACAGGAUGCUGAAGGCCUGUAUGCACAAGUGAUUGCCCUUGUGAAUUAGUGCUAGUCACAAACAGGCCAGAUUUGGAAAAUCUGCCCCUAACGCUACAUUUUUAAAGAAACCCCCUUAGGAAGUGCCCUUCACUUGACCCUUCCUUGUGUACCAAUUAACAUAGGAAUAAAAACUGAUGAGCACAUAUUGUUACAUGGUAAAUUUAGUCUGCUCAGCCUAAGCUGUAAUGGGCAUCUGUCCUCGUCACAAAACAACCUACAAAUUGAUAAAGCAGCCCGAAGGCUGGAAUUGCAAGGAUGGGAGGAGGAUAUAGGUCCAAUAGUCAGGGAGUGGCCAGACUCAUCGGGGGGACAUAUUGCCAGACCAGUGGUACCUUCCUAUAGAAUGCCUGGCUCUAGCCAGUGCUGCCAGCUGUCUGUUUCAUGAGUAAUGAAAUCCAAAAGAUGUAAACAAAACGAGCAAAAAGGACAACCAACUGUACUUAGCAAAAAGUGUAAAUUGGCUCCUUCCUUUCACAGGGGAGAUGCCAGCUUGUUUUUAUUUAUUUUGGAAAUGAAAUCAUCAUGCAGGAGUUUUUUGUCUUAAUUAAAAUUUCCUGUUCUUCCAAAUACAGCUGUGUGGUGGGUGUGAAAGGAAAUUAGUGAGUAAGCUGUGGUGGGGCUCUCUUUCCUGGGCACCAAUCACUGGGAAUAAACUCACGGGAAUUUUUUAACAAUGUUAACAACAUGAUCCAUAUUUAUUCAGCUAACUGAAGAGAGCAGAAAUAACUAAACACUUGUUU